AUGUCAUUAUACAAAUUUGUGUCCUCAUAUGUCGCAAAAACCACGCACGUACGGUAACGGAUCCAACGAGACGAGAAACAUGCGGAUCCAUGUGCGAGCUUUAUUACAGAGGCGUGGUCAGGAAACAAGCAAGGGUCCAACAGUGGCAAACAGGAAUAUCACAGGCUAAGCAAAGAGUCAUCAAACACAGGCAUGGGUCAGACGACAGUGAACAAUAUCCAAAGGGGCUUGAUGAGAGAGAAGAACAAAAGUCACACACGCUUCAAAUGAUGUAAGGACAUACCGAGUUGUGUACAGUGGCACAAAAUUGGGGCUUUCUUUGUUGUUAGAUGAAGUGAAUCUCUAGAGACUGCAGCAGAGAGAGAGAGAGAGAAUGCUUCUCAAAGGAAAC